UAAGAAGAAAGAAUUGUCAUUAAAAUCAAAUUGUAUACAUUAGUCAACCUUGGUCAGAAGAGGUCUGAUGAAAGCUAUGAAUCAACGAAGAAAAAAUGGAAAUAAUGCUUUAUUCUUCAAUAAUUAUCAAUAUUCAAACUUAAUAAACGGCUAAGUUUACAAAUUAUAAAGCCAUUAACACUUUCAACACUUUUUUAAAUUUUAUUUUAUCAGGGCAGAUUU